ensembl:lncRNA
GGAAGGUGACUGGAGCCCAGAGAUGGUCAAAGUGGCUGCAGAGAGGGGCAGGAGGGGAGUUUAUGGCAAGAUUUUACUCACAGUCUCUGGAGAGACUUGUGACCAGCCACAGGACAACUCCAGCAUCUUCAGCAGUACCCCUUUGGUUCAAAGGAAAUGCUUGUUCCCCGAAGGGCACGAUGUGACCGAUCAUUCCACCACAUUACACACCCAAGAUGCUGAAAGUGAAACGGUGACUUCUGAGACCUCACACCUGAGCGACAGGAGCGACAGCGUGUGCUUUGCUGAGGUCCAAGUCAAUAAAGUCGACACCAGUGACUCCGCUGUGGGGAAUAAACCUCCAGUGUGGCCUACAGUGAGUGUUAUCC